AUUGAACGCUGGCGGCAUGCCUUACACAUGCAAGUCGAACGGUAACAGGUCUUCGGAUGCUGACGAGUGGCGAACGGGUGAGUAAUACAUCGGAACGUGCCCGAGAGUGGGGGAUAACGAGGCGAAAGCUUUGCUAAUACCGCAUACGAUCUCAGGAUGAAAGCAGGGGACCGCAAGGCCUUGCGCUCACGGAGCGGCCGCUGGCAGAUUAGGUAGUUGGUGGGAUAAAAGCUUACCAAGCCGACGAUCUGUAGCUGGUCUGAGAGGACGACCAGCCACAAUGGGACUGAGACACGGCCCAGACUCCUACGGGAGGCAGCAGUGGGGAAUUUUUGACAAUGGGCGCAAGCCUGAUCCAGCCAUGCCGCGUGCAGGAUGAAGGCCUUCGGGUUGUAAACUGCUUUUGUACGGAACGAAAAGACUCCUUCUAAUAAAGGGGGUCCAUGACGGUACCGUAAGAAUAAGCACCGGCUAACUACGUGACAGCCGCCGCAGUAAUAC
rnacentral:rRNA from 1 species